rnacentral:rRNA from 1 species
UACGUAGGUGGCAAGCGUUGUCCGGAAUUAUUGGGCGUAAAGCGCGCGCAGGCGGUCCUUUAAGUCUGAUGUGAAAGCCCACGGCUCAACCGUGGAGGGUCAUUGGAAACUGGGGGACUUGAGUGCAAGAGAGAAGAGUGGAAUUCCACGUGUAGCGGUGAAAUGCGUAGAGAUGUGGAGGAACGCCAGUGGCGAAGGCGACUCUUUGGCCUGUAACUGACGCUGAGGCGCGAAAGCGUGGGGAGCGAACAGG